GAGUUUCAAGUAAAAGUAAGAGUUUAUAAUGAUAUGAUUGUGAUCAUGUGCUUAAAUUUGUAUUAGAUUAGCAGUUUGAGUUAAGAAGGGAAAUAAAGAUAGGAAGAAGAGGGAUUACAUAUGGAAUUUGAAGAGUGGUUCCGAAUUUUGGGUGUUUGUUAAGGGUUAAUGAACUUAGCAAUGUUUGAUAAAAGAUGAUAUAAACAUAGAAGGAAGAUCGGAUGAGGAAGAAGUGCAAGGAAUUAAGUGGAAUUUUUUGGCAACUCAGUGGUAUUUCUCCAUCAACAUUAAGCCUUGGCAAUGAUCGACUUAAGUAGUUUGUCUGGGGUAUUGAGUACAUCAUGUUUCAACAUAUAUUGGAAAUAAUGGACUU
rnacentral:lncRNA from 1 species